rnacentral:rRNA from 1 species
GAUUAACGCUGGCGGCGUGCAUAACACAUGCAAGUCGAACGAUGAAACUCAUUAGAUUUCUUCGGAAUGAAAAUGAAUGGCUUAGUGGCGAACGGGUGAGUAACGCGUGAGUAACCUGCCUUACACAAGGGGAUAGCCUCUGGAAACGGAGAAUAAUACCCUAUGAAACCAGACAAUCGCAUGAUAAUCUGGUCAAAAUGUUUAGUGGUGUAAGAUGGACUUGCGUCUGAUUAGCUAGUUGGUGAGAUAAAAGCUCACCAAGGCAACGAUCAGUAGCCGGCUUGAGAGAGUGUACGGCCACAUUGGGACUGAGACACGGCCCAGACUCCUACGGGAGGCAGCAGUGGGGAAUUUUGCACAAUGGGGGAAACCCUGAUGCAGCGACGCCGCGUGAUUGAGAAGGCCUUCGGGUUGUAAAAAUCUUUUGUAUAGGAAGAAAAUGACAGUACUAUACGAAUAAGGUCCGGCUAAUUACGUG